rnacentral:rRNA from 1 species
AUACGUAGGGGGCAAGCGUUAUCCGGAUUUACUGGGCGUAAAGGGCGUGUAGGCGGUCUUGCAAGUCAGAAGUGAAAUUCCUGAGCUCAACUCGGGCGCUGCUUCUGAAACUGCAGGACUUGAGUGCUGGAGGGGAUAGCGGAAUUCCUAGUGGAGCGGUAAAAUGCGCAGAUAUUAGGAGGAACACCGGUGGCGAAGGCGGCUAUCUGGACAGUAACUGACGCUGAGGCGCGAAAGCACGGGGAGCAAACAGGAUUAGAUACCCUGGUAGUCCGUGCCGUAAACGAUGAAUACUAGGUGUAGGGGGUAUCGACUCCCUCUGUGCCGCAGUUAACACAUUAAGUAUUCCACCUGGGGAGUACGAUCGCAAGGUUGAAACUCAAAGGAAUUGACGGGG